GGGCCUGUCGUCCAACGGCAGGGCAUCCGCCUCGCACGCGGAAGAAGCCGAUUCGAAUCCGGCCAGGUCCACCA
rnacentral:tRNA from 1 species